UUACGGCCAUAUCAUGUUGAAAUACCUGUUCCCGUACGAUCACCGAAGUUAAGCAACGUCGAGCCUGGUUAGUACCUAGAUGAAUGACCGCUUGGGAAUACCAAGUGUUGUAAG